UUUUUUUUUUUUUCUUUUUAUGGCCACACCUACAGCAUAUGGAAGUUCCCAGGCUAGGGGUUGAAUCCCAGGCAGCUGCCAGCCUAUGCUACAGCCACAGAUCUAAGCCAGAUCUGAGCUGCAUCUGUAACCUAUGCUGCAGCUUAUGGCAAUGCCAGAUCCUUAACCCACUGAGCCAGACCAGGGAUCGAACCCGCAACCUCAUGGACACUAUGAGGGGUUCUUAACCCACAGAGCCACAAUAAGAACUCCCCUAAUUCAUCUUUGCACCUCCCACAGUGCCUACCAUAACUCCUGCCCUUGGUAGCUAUGCUUACCUAUUUUUUAAAUGAAUGACUUAGAAAACAGAGUAACAAACUAACGCACAGAUGAGGACUGAGAACUAAAAUAAAAGAAUGAGUCUGGAGGAAGGAUGUACAGAAAUAAUCAAGAUAAAUAUCAAGAAUCUAAAGAUCUUCAAAAUUCAGGUCUAAUGAGGACACAGGACUUGAGCAAGUUCUUUCUGAAGGGUCUUUGUUCCCAUCAUUUACAGCUGCAUGGUAACUGCCAACAACGGAUGAGAAGGCGCCCUGACACCCACCAGCAGACACCUGGCUCUGGAGCAAAGUUGCCCUUGGGAGGUGGAGGGAGAUGAACAGGGAGGGAGGUCAAGGAGACUGGCUCUGGUGGCAGUGGCAUGCCCUCACUUCUCCAAGCUGCUUCACGCUGCAGUGUGCAGGCAACUUCAUUCUGACAGGCAUUUAGCCGUGGCUCUUCACACCCAAGACUCAACUUGUCUCAUGAUCCGUCUUCAAAGGCAUUCGCACCUAAAGAGGCCAGAACCCCUUUGGAAUGCAGGUCCCCUGCCCAGAGGCACCAUUGAGCCAGGAGGUGGGAGUGGGAAGGAGGAGAAGAAAGAGAACAGACACCACUGGGCUCCAGCCUACCCACGAGGGCCUUUGCAUCUGCAGGAAUUUUUUUCAUCCACUUCCAACAUGUUCCCUUUGAUAAUAAAUCAAUAAGUAAGUAAAAUAAGACACAGACAGCACAGAAACACCCCUUUAUUCUGUCUUGUCACUAGUCUAUCACUUUAUUCCGUCUUGCUACUAGUGAGGCAUGAGGCAUAAUCCCAAAGGAUUUCCUAAAUUAUCUCUAAGAUCUGGGGGUUACGAGUAUGGGUUCUAGCAAUGUGAAGAGCCUGGAUUUCCACUUCAUUCAUUCAUCCUGUUGACUGAAAAAAAAUAUAUAUAUGCACAACCUAAAAGUGGAGAAUUAUGUUUUAUUUGGCAGGCUUACUGGGGACUUAAUCCCAGGAGACAGCCUCUCCGGUGGCUCUGAGGAACUGCUCUGAAGACGUAUGGGAGGAGCCAGUUUUGCAACAAAGACCAAAUAGAACAUCAAAAGAUGACUGUUAAUUAAAGAAAACCAAACAUUUCAAGUCAAUGCAUUUAGCCUUUGCUAUGUAUGAGAAGAUGCAGGAGGCUGGGCUCAUCGAAAUCAUUCCUUUGAUAUGCACCUUCACUGGGCAGGGCCAGUACCCUGAUUUUCCCCAUCCCAAGUCCCCUCAGUGUGCAAGGGCUGCAGGGGCUGCUGGCAUGAUGGCUGUCACAUCCUUUGUUCCCUGGGAUGACAGGCAACAUCCUUUGCCCACAAUUCAUUCACAGCAUGUUCACAGAAUUGAACAUAAGAGUUCUUUCUUCCCCUCUCUUUCUCUUCCUUCCUUGCCUUUUGUCUUCCUUUCCAGAAAUACUCGUUGAACAUCUAUUACAAGCCAGAAAUUGUUCUAGGUGCUGGGAAAAGAUCUCUGAACAAAAUAAUCCAUGGUGAAGCUUGUGUUCUAAUGGGAGAGUCAGACAGUACAUAAGGAAAGUGAACGAUAUUAAUAAAGAAGUAAAUGAUACACUAUUAGAGAGUGACAAGUGCUGUGGGAAAAACAGCACAGAGUAUGGAACUACUGGAGUGGCCGUGGUGGGUAGGGGCAGUGACCGUGACUCAGUGAGAUGGUCAGGACAGGUUUCACUGAGAAAGCAAGACCUGAAAGUGCCCAGGGAGUGAGUUGUCCUGGGAUAUCUGGGGGAAGAGCAUAGCAGCUCAGAGAAAAUCUGUGUGGAGCUGCUGAUGGAUGCAGAUUUGAGAUAUUAGAACAGGUUCUCCAAGGGUGGCCUGAAUGUUUUCUUACUUAGAAUGCCUGCCUCCACAUGUUGAGGUGGCUACUUUCCCACCUCGGACUGGGGCGUUGGGCACACCAGGAGGAGAAUGUCCAUCACGUGAUUAUCGAACUUUGUCUUUUUUUUCAUCUCCAAAUAAAAACACCCAAGACUUGCAAAGUAAUGCUGAGGCUGAAAGAGAUUGUGUCCAUUCAGGACACCAGACCAGCCUGGGCACGUGGCAGGACACAACACCUGGCCUUUUUUUUAGUAAUCUCUCCGUACAGAAAAGAAAAAAGAUGUUGUUCAUUGAAACUGGCAAAAUUAUACUUUGGUUACAGAAAUCCUCAUACUUCAUUAGUUUUCUAGGUUUUUUGUUUUUUUUUUUAUCCCAUAAACCCCACUGUGGACUCAGAAGACUCCAGAGCAGAUGGCCUCCUGUGGUGGCACAGAGAUUCAUCCUGCUUCAGUCUCGUGGAAUCCUCACCCCUCGUGGUGCUGCCAGCAUAGGCACAGUGGCGGAAAUGAGAGCGGGAGUGUCUCACGCUGGCAGUUAAAUGCUUUAGCCCAGAGGUGACACACCUCUACUGUGCUUACAGGCCAUUCGCCAGGACUGGUCACGUGACCCCCCAGCAAUAUGUGGAAUGGUGAGGAGUGGAUGAGAACUGUAUGUGGCUGACAUCAAAGUCCCCCCUCCCCAGAGGUCCAUUCAGAAAUGACCCUUCCAAAAUAGUGUCUAAGCUGGGCUACUGACAGGUUGGACACUGGCUCUGCCCAACUGCAAAGUCCAUGCUCUCCCACCACGUUCCACUCUGCUACAGAGGGCUCCUUGGCAAGCAGAAAAUUCCACUCAGAUCCCAAACGGCUGUUGAGUCAAAUCUGAGGCAGACACACUUCCGAGGGCACCACCCAGAAUCUGUUCGGAGGAAGCUCAAAGGAGUGUGAUCAUACACAGGGUGUCAGAGGAAGGGUUCUCCCAGACCGAAGGCCAAGGUAACAUGAGUGUGUCUUCCAAGCAAAGACAUCACACAUGAUGCUCUGGGGCUGCCUCUUCUCAACAGCAUCCUCUGCUUAUUGUCAGCAACCCACCCACCAUUCCUGGUCUGUACUGCUGGGAAAACGGCACAUGCUUUGUUCCCUAAUCUCUAGUCAAACCAAAUAUCUGCCUUGUGUCUCUUUUAUUGGACAGCUACACAAGGCACCAUCUUUGCUCUGGCAUUCCGACAGCUGAGCAAAGCCUGCACGUGACUGUCACCUGUGUGUGGAGAGAGUGGCUUCCGCUCACUUAGAUCAUCCAGAACAGGACUUGGCUGCUCUGGGUCCUGAGCCUGGAGAGUCUCUGUGAACAACAAAGGCUUCCUUUGUAGACCAAAUCCCAGCAGGAACAAGCAUCUUUUGGCAAAUCUCUCCAAGACGGUAAUACUGCUCAACAAGAAAACUCAGAAGGGAAUUUCAUUUGAGACAUACACUCCUUAAGGUGGAAGCCAAAAGCCCAGGAGAUGCAUGCUUUGGAAGAAUUACCUGAGUUCACAUCUUGCUGCUUAAGAAGAACCCUUUGACUUCAGCACAAGUGAGUCAAGCUCCAUUGCCUGCUCUUCAUCAGGCUACUUCAAGCCCAGCUACAGAGACAGGAUCUUUGAAAACCAGUGUCCUGAGUUCAAGGCCAAGUGCCCCCAUUCUAGCUGUGAAACCUGCAAGGAGCGGCUCAGUUUACUCAAGUGUAAAACAAGGAUGAAAAUUCUGCUCAUGCAAAGUUGAAUGAGAUCAAAUGAGACACAGUAAACACCUAGCAUGUCUCUGGCCUAAAAUGACCAUUCAAUACCCUGUGCCGCUCUUUAAGUUAUGUGAAUACCAUUGACCUUUGAAAGGAAAGUCACAGACAGUGUGGAUGAGGUGUCUGUGACUUUCCUGGGCACAUAUCCAAACAAAACCCUCAUUCAAAAAAAUACAUGAACCCUACGUUCAUUGCAGCACUAUUCACAAUAGCCAAGACAUGGAAACAACCUAAGUGUCCACUGACAGAUAAAUGGAUUAAGAAUGUGGUAUAUAUACACAAUGGAAUAAUAUUUAGCCAUUAAAAAACCAAAAUAAUGCCAUUUGCAGCAACAUGGAUGUUACUAGAGAUUCUCAUACUCAGUGAAAUAAGUCAGAAAGAGAAAGACAAAUACCAUAUGAUAUCACUUCUGUGUGGAAUCUAAAAUAUAGCAGAAAUGAACUUAUCUACAAGACAGAAACAGACUCACAGACAUAGAGAACAGACUUGUGGUUGCCAGGGGUGUGGGGGGGAGGAACUGGGAUGGACUGGGAGUUUGGGGUUGGUAAAAGCAAAAUAUUGCAUUUAGAAUAGAUAAACAAUGAGGUCUUACUGUACAGCACAGGGAACUAUAACCAGUCUCUUGGGACAGAACAUGAUGGAAGAUAAUAUGAGAAAAAGAAUAUAUAUAUAUACUGGGUCACUAUGCUGUACUGCAGAAAUUGACACAACACUGUAAAUCAACAAUACUGUAAUGAAAUUUUUUAAAAAUAAAUAAAAUUCCGUUAUUUGGUCACACCAGCUACGUUCCAAGUGCCUGUGGCCACAUCUUGGACAGCACAGACGUCCUAUUCGAUAUCGCUCUUCUAGAUCACUAUUCCAUCCGUGGAUGUUGCUAAAAGCUUUAAGAUUAUGAGUUGUCUUUACCAUUGAAUAAAAGCCAAACAAUGUUUCUUUGACAAAGGUCGAUGCUAAAAAAAAAAAAAAAAAAAAAAAAAAACAACCCAAGACCUUAUCUAGCAUGAUGCGUUCCCAGAAGUAGCAGUCACAGAACUAAAAGUUGUCCUAUUGUCAGAGAGGAGAACAGGUGGGUGACAGCAGAAGGGGUCACUAUGAUGAACCUGUCAUCAUGAGAAUUGAAGCAGCAGAGGCAUUGUCUAUGACUUAGUGUCCGCAAUUACAGUGACAAAACAGAACCGUCGGGAUCCUCAGGAACCCCUGCCUCUAUUCCUCCCAACCCAUUCUUUUUCACGGCCACACUGCAGCAUAUGGGAGUUCCAGGGCCAGGGAUCAGACUCACACCACAGCAGCAACCUGAGCAGCUGCAGUGACAACACUACCGGAUCCUUAACCUGCUGUGUCACAAGAGAACUCCUCUCCCAGCCCAUUCAGAAGGUCUCCACAGGGCGGCCUGCUGUGCCUGUGAAAACAGGGACUGGUGUUUGAGAAUGCAGUUCUCUGGAUGGUGUGACACAGCCGGCCAUUCCUACCAGGCCUGGUGGGUCAGGUGACCCCUCUGCCACUUGCUGCUUUAGAAGCAGGAGAUCCCUGUGGCCUCCUCCCAACCUGGGGAAGCUAAGGCAGAAGAAAUAACUACCACCUACACGCUUUUGUCUUAUUAAGCGGCAUCUCCCAGGCAUUGCAAUGUGCAGCCUUUGCUAUUUUCCUGUUGGUGCUUCUUCCUCUGUUCAGGCACCGGCCUGAGUCCCAAGUAGGAGGCAGGGCCAGAAGGCUAGUUAAGUGCUACAUACCAUAGCCCUACAUACCACAGCCC
rnacentral:lncRNA from 1 species